UUUCCGUAGGUGAACCUGCGGAAGGAUCAUUAUUGGAUUUUGAAACUUCAGGCUGCUGCUGGCUCUCCUCGGAGGGCAUGUGCACGCUUGUUGUCCAUUAUUUCUCCCACUGUGCACAAAUUGUAGACCUUUCAGUAGGCCUAUGUUGUUUUUCACAAUCUCUGAAUGUAAUAGAAUGGUUUUGAAUCUUGGGAAAUACUAUACAACUUUCAGCAACGGAUCUCUUGGCUCUC
rnacentral:misc_RNA from 1 species